AUUGAACGCUGGCGGCAGGCUUAACACAUGCAAGUCGAGCGGAGAUGAGGUGCUUGCACCUUAUCUUAGCGGCGGACGGGUGAGUAAUGCUUAGGAAUCUGCCUAUUAGUGGGGGACAACAUUCCGAAAGGAAUGCUAAUACCGCAUACGUCCUACGGGAGAAAGCAGGGGAUCUUCGGACCUUGCGCUAAUAGAUGAGCCUAAGUCGGAUUAGCUAGUUGGUGGGGUAAAGGCCUACCAAGGCGACGAUCUGUAGCGGGUCUGAGAGGAUGAGCCGCCAAACUGGGACUGAGACACGGCCCAGACUCCUACGGGAGGCAGCAGUGGGGAAUAUUGGACAAUGGGGGGAACCCUGAUCCAGCCAUGCCGCGUGUGUGAAGAAGGCCUUAUGGUUGUAAAGCACUUUAAGCGAGGAGGAGGCUACUCUAGUUAAUACCUAGGGAUAGUGGACGUUACUCGCAGAAUAAGCACCGGCUAACUCUGUGCCAGCAGCCGCGGUAA
rnacentral:rRNA from 1 species